AAAAGUUUAAUCAUAACAUGCAUUACUGACUGUUGCUAUUUCUAUCAAUGUUUCAACUGUGAAAAUAAAUUUUUAUCCAUAUCUCCUUAAAAAAGCUGAACCAUGUAACAGUUUGUUCAUUGUAUUUAGUUAAUUAUUCUACAUAUAUUAAAUCAACAAAUUUUUCUGACUAUAGUACAAAGUAGAUUUAUUGUUAGUGCUGAGCUUUCUUUGCUUUUUCUUAGGAAUGUAAAUAAACCAUUAACAAAUAGUUCCCAGAUGUCCAGAUGUGGCCCUUCUCACUCUUUAAAGGAUGUUGUGUGCCUUCCUGACAGUUGUAAUAAAAUUGAAGAGGACAUAUUGAGUUUCAAUCCAGACUUUGUAUUUGAACAAGAUCUCCCAGGUGAUUCACUUGAAGGUUAAUUUUUUUCAAACACUGGUUAUAAUCACUCUAACAAUGGAGAUCUAACAGGUGUCUUUCUUUCUUUCUUUCUCUCUCUCUUUUUUAAAAAAUAUUUAUUGUUCAUUUGUAGUUGGACACAAUAGCUUUAUUUUAUUUAUUUUUAUGUGGUGCUGAGGAUCAAACCCAGUUUCUCAUGCGUGCUAGGAGAGUGCUCUAACACUGAGCUACAACCGUAUCCCCUAACAGGGGUUUUUCACUCUGAAGAGAAUACAGGUUUAUGAAAGAGCAAAUUGUUCAUUGGUCAUUAAAUGAACUGGAGCUCUAGAACCAGAAAAUCAGGCUUUAUAAUGUAACUCUGUGAGACCUAGUCAUGAUUGUAACCACCAUGCCUGCCUUAAAGUCCAUAAUUGGUCAUUGUUAAACAAAUCUGAAUUGUCUCAUUUUAUGUAAUGUCAGUAUUUUACCUUAUGAAAUCUACCUCUUAGCUAAGUUUUGACUUUAAAUAUUUUUUUCUUAAAGGUGGUUCAUUUUUAAAAAUAUUUUUUUAGUUGUUGAUAGAUCUUUAUUUUAUUUAUACGCGGUGCUGAGAAUUGAACCCAGUGCCUCCCACAUGCCAGGCAAGUGCACUACCACUGAGCCCCAACCCCAGCCCAAAGAUGGUUCUUUUUAGUAUAUAUGACAGCAGAAUGCAUUUUGAUUCAUUGUACACAAUUGCAGCACAACUUUUCAUUUCUCUGGUUGUAUACUAUGUAGUGUUGCACCAUAUGUGCAGUCAUACAUGUACCUAGGGUAAUGAUGUCCAUCUCGUUCCAUCAUUUUUCCUGUCCCCAUGCCCCUUCCCCAUCACCCUCCCCUUGGCCCAAUGAAAGUUCCUCCAUUUUUCCCAUCUGUCCCCCACCCCUGUCCAUCUCCAUGGAUCAGCAUCCACUUAUCAGAGAGAAUAUUUCGCCUUUGGAUUUUUGGGAUUGGCUUACUUUGCUUAGCAUGAUAUUCUCCAUCUCCAUCCAUUUAUACCUGCAAAUGCCAUAAUUUUAUUCUAUUUUAAUGCCGAGUAAUAUUCCAUUGUGUACAUAUACCACAGUUUCUUUAUCCAUUCAUCUGUUGAAGGGCAUCUGUGGUGCUGGGGAUAUAGGUCAGUUGGUAGAGUGGUUGCCUCACAUGCAUAAGAUCUUCUUUCAUAAGAUCAUGGACAUUUGGGAUGUUUAGUGACUUAUAGUACUGGAGGGAGCAGUGAAUCUGGAUCCUUGGAUUCAGAAUCUAUAAGUCCAGGUACAUAAAUAUUUAAGUCUAGCAGUAAAAUUCAAUGAAAUUAUUAAAAUAAUCACUUGGGGAAUAUUUAUAACUAACUUAUUUUUAUAAUGAAGUGUCUUAAAUAUAGAUGAGAAUAUAUAUAUAUAUAUAUAUAUAUAUAUAUAUAUAUACAGAUUAAAGAAAGAGAAUGAAACAGACCCUCAAUAAAAAUAUUAGGACAUUAGAAGCACCUGGGUACUCCUUCUUGAUUACACUGCCUUAGCUCCCACCAGCAUAAACCAUUAUCCUGACUAUUUUAAAAUCAUUCUGUAGAUAUUUCAAAUGUUUUUAAUACCUAUAUGUAGUAGAGUUUUGACCUCUUCUGGAUAUUGUUCAAAUUCAAUCAUACUAUUUUGUGACUUAAUUCAUGCAUGUUAUGUUAAUGUGAAUAGUUGGCCUUAUUUUUACUACUGUAUUCUAGUCCAUGAACUUGAAUAUCAUGAUUGAUCUUUUGAAUUGUUUUGCAGUAAUUGCUAUAAUAAACAAUUCCAUUAUGCCAAUCCUUGA
rnacentral:lncRNA from 1 species